GACAGAGGUGCCGAGCGUUAGGCGGAAUCACUGGGCUUAAAGCGUGUGUAGGCGGCGGCGUGAGUACCUUGUGAAAUCCCACGGCUCAACCGUGGAACUGCUCGGUAUACUGCGUCGCUUGAGCCAGCUAGGGGCGACCGGAACAAACGGUGGAGCGGUGAAAUGCGUAGAUAUGCGGAGGAACACCGAUGGCGAAGGCAAUCCCCUGGGCCUGCACUGACGCUCAUGCACGAAAGCGUGGGGAGCAAACAGG
rnacentral:rRNA from 1 species